AUUAAUAGAUAUAGACUUUAAACUUGAAGAAUUUGGCGGUGACUUAAUCUUAUUAGAGGAACCUGUUUUUGAAUCGAUACACCACGCAAAAUCUUACUCAUUUUAUUUAGUUUGUAUACCGUCAUUAUCAGAUGAUUUUAAUAGAAAUUUAAUCAUUAAAGAUUAUAAAUAAUAAAUUAAAUUAGAUCAAGGUGUAGCCUAUAAAUGAGUUAAAAUGGGUUACAAUAAAUAUUUAUUUAUUACGGAUUAGUAGUAAAGAAAUACACUAGGAAGGAGGAUUUAACUGUAAUUUGAGUUUAAUAAGCUUGAAAGAUAUAAGCUCUAGGUCAU
rnacentral:rRNA from 1 species